CGCCCGUCUCGGCCCCCCAAAGUGCUGAGAUUACAGGCUUGAGCCACCGCGCCCGGCAGCACCAAAUAUUUUAAUGACUAAAAUUAUGAUAAUUAAACUGAGUAGAGUGAUGAAAGCAAUGAAAGCAAUGAAAGCAGAAAGAAGUUCUUUGUAUUAAAUAAAGCAAUAACAAUCAUCCUUAACAUCAAACACUCACUCAAGGUUGAAGAAGAAGUGGAGAAUCACAGAAGUAAUAGAACAGAAUCAACAGGAACCCUAAAUGAUGGUGCUACUGUUGGCAGUGAUGAUGAUGGACUAAAUCAGCAGAUUCCUAGGAAGGAGGAUGGAGAGCAUGACAGGUCUGCAGAUAAAACAUCUAAUCAAAAUAACAAGGUCAAAAACCAAAUACAUCCUGGGGCUGACUUUACUGACUCAGUGGAGCCAUCUGAAAUAGCCUCAGAGGACUGUGAGUUGUCUCAUUCUGUUUAUGAGAACUUUAUGUUGCAGAUGGAACAACUUAUAAUGGAGUGUAAAGGUAGGACCAUUGCAUAAAUGCAAAGCCGUUUGAUGUAUCCUGCAGUAAUGUAUGUAUACAUUGCUGAGAACUGACCUAUGAUAGUGAAGCUCAUCUCAGAAAUAUGCUCAGUGUUAAAAUAGAGAACGAAUUUAUACUGUACACCAAAGAGCUAUGGUAACUCCACUGUACUUUGCUCAGUGUGAAUGGCACUCCCAGUCUUUUUGUUGACUCUGUUUCUCUCCUAUUCCUUACCCCCAAUGUCAGGUUAUCAUAUUCUUCUCUACCUGGAAUGCUGUGAGAAUCUUAGGAAUUUAGGAAUCUUAGAACUGUUUUCCCGAAUACCCCACUUCCUAAAACCAUGGUCUACUCUGGUUUUAGGAAGUGGGGUAAUGAUAAUUUUUUUAAAAUCAUAAUGAUAAAUUUUUUAAAAUUUGGAUCUGAUCAUGUUACUCCUUUGCUUAUA